GGAAAGGCGCGCGAUACAGGGUGACAGCCCCGUACACAAAAAUGCACAUGCUGUGAGCUCGAUGAGUAGGGCGGGACACGUGGUAUCCUGUCUGAAUAUGGGGGGACCAUCCUCCAAGGCUAAAUACUCCUGACUGACCGAUAGUGAACCAGUACCGUGAGGGAAAGGCGAAAAGAACCCCGGCGAGGGGAGUGAAAAAGAACCUGAAACCGUGUACGUACAAGCAGUGGGAGCACGCUUAGGCGUGUGACUGCGUACCUUUUGUAUAAUGGGUCAGCGACUUAUAUUCUGUAGCAAGGUUAACCGAAUAGGGGAGCCGAAGGGAAACCGAGUCUUAACUGGGCGUUAAGUUGCAGGGUAUAGACCCGAAACCCGGUGAUCUAGCCAUGGGCAGGUUGAAGGUUGGGUAACACUAACUGGAGGACCGAACCGACUAAUGUUGAAAAAUUAGCGGAUGACUUGUGGCUGGGGGUGAAAGGCCAAUCAAACCGGGAGAUAGCUGGUUCUCCCCGAAAGCUAUUUAGGUAGCGCCUCGUGAAUUCAUCUCCGGGGGUAGAGCACUGUUUCGGCAAGGGGGUCAUCCCGACUUACCAACCCGAUGCAAACUGCGAAUACCGGAGAAUGUUAUCACGGGAGACACACGGCGGGUGCUAACGUCCGUCGUGAAGAGGGAAACAACCCAGACCGCCAGCUAAGGUCCCAAAGUCAUGGUUAAGUGGGAAACGAUGUGGGAAGGCCCAGACAGCCAGGAUGUUGGCUUAGAAGCAGCCAUCAUUUAAAGAAAGCGUAAUAGCUCACUGGUCGAGUCGGCCUGCGCGGAAGAUGUAACGGGGCUAAACCAUGCACCGAAGCUGCGGCAGCGACGCUGAUGCGUUGUUGGGUAGGGGAGCGUUCUGUAAGCCUGCGAAGGUGUGCUGUGAGGCAUGCUGGAGGUAUCAGAAGUGCGAAUGCUGACAUAAGUAACGAUAAAGCGGGUGAAAAGCCCGCUCGCCGGAAGACCAAGGGUUCCUGUCCAACGUUAAUCGGGGCAGGGUGAGUCGACCCCUAAGGCGAGGCCGAAAGGCGUAGUCGAUGGGAAACAGGUUAAUAUUCCUGUACUUGGUGUUACUGCGAAGGGGGGACGGAGAAGGCUAUGUUGGCCGGGCGACGGUUGUCCCGGUUUAAGCGUGUAGGCUGGUUUUCCAGGCAAAUCCGGAAAAUCAAGGCUGAGGCGUGAUGACGAGGCACUACGGUGCUGAAGCAACAAAUGCCCUGCUUCCAGGAAAAGCCUCUAAGCAUCAGGUAACAUCAAAUCGUACCCCAAACCGACACAGGUGGUCAGGUAGAGAAUACCAAGGCGCUUGAGAGAACUCGGGUGAAGGAACUAGGCAAAAUGGUGCCGUAACUUCGGGAGAAGGCACGCUGAUAUGUAGGUGAAGUCCCUCGCGGAUGGAGCUGAAAUCAGUCGAAGAUACCAGCUGGCUGCAACUGUUUAUUAAAAACACAGCACUGUGCAAACACGAAAGUGGACGUAUACGGUGUGACGCCUGCCCGGUGC
rnacentral:rRNA from 1 species